CCCUAAGGACCAUGACCCGGCCCAGUUGGCUUAACAUAUAAGCCAUUUUAGGCAUAUAUAAAAAAGAACUCGAAAAAAACUAGGGUUUCAAUAUCUUUGAGACCUUUAAAAUUUUUCUGAGUUAUUUUAAAAUUUUUUGGUGUCUCUUUUACUCUCUUUGGGUUUGCGGUUGAGUUUGAUUUGGGAAGGAAGAGUCUCCAAGUCCAAAUCUUGACUUAAGGCUGCUCCAAGAAGAGGUAAUUCCCUAUUUUUUACUUAGUUUUCUUUCUCUGCAUUUUCUUUCUGUUUUAGCUGAUUACUGUUUGCUAUGUAGAUAUUUGCAUACCAUUACUUUGGGUCUAUAUAGAUAAUAUGAUUAUGCAUUAGUCUAGUUCAUUUAAGUAAAUUACAUUUUUGCUCUAUAUUAAUAAUGGAAAUUACUAGUCUAGGUAGAUGUUUGAGCACAUGUUGAUCAUAAUUACUUUAUUAAUGUCCACAUUUUGAUUAAGGGUUUGAAACUUUUUUGAUUGGACUUAGUCUGGUUUAGUUCAUGUUGAUUGCUGUUGGGUUUUUUUUUUUUUUUUUUUUUUUUUUUUUGUCAUUUUACCUUAAAUGAACUUAAGUUAUGGUUGUCUUAACAAUUUUGAUACAUAAGGAUAAUUUGGAUUAGGCUUAUUUAGCAAUCCAUCAGCUUCAUGUUAAAGUAACUAUGGCCUGUGAUUAGUGUGUUCUCUAAACCUAUACUAGUUAAAUUUAUUUAGCUUGAUAUCUGUGUCUAUGUGUACUGGUUAUUCUUAUGUUUAGUCCAUUUGCUAUGUUUACUUAAGUUUGUUGCUAGCAAAAAUGAUGUGAGAUAGGAGUGCACUUCUAACUAAACCUGCUUAUUUGGUUAAAGCUCCAUGUUACUUGAGUCUAUGUGUUUUGAGAAGUUUGAGCUUGUUCUGUCAUUUUACAUGCUUAAGUCUCAGUCAAAGUCUAAAUUGCUGAGGAAAUCAGUUUAAGUGAAAUGUCUGCUUACCUUAACUUGACCCUAUCUCAAGUGAUAUUCUCAUGUGCAAAAGGAACACUAAUUUAUUAAUAGGAGGCAUUUGCUAUAUGAAGUUAGUCAUUUGCUAUAUGAUUUAUUAAGGAUGUUGUAUGGUUGAGACACUAUUGUAUAUUAACUGAGAUCAUUUGGUCCCAUGUUAGUAAUGUGAAACAUGAAGUCCAUAAGGGCUCAAGUAGGCUACAGUUGAGUUCAUUUGAGGCUUCAUUGAUAGGUUUUGGAGAACUAGAGAGUCCAAGUCCCUAUACUUGUUGUAUGUGCUUGGUUUUGGACCCAGUUAGUUGAAUGUAUGGUCUCUUUGUGUAAAGUGUUGAUACUAAAUUUUCCUACAUAGACUCCAACUGUUGUGAUCAUGUUCUUGUUUUGUGGUCCACUUGAUUGUCAAAGUCUACCUCUACAUGGCUUAUUUUCUUUUUUUUUUUUAAAAAAAAAAAUAGUUGUAACUGGGAAACAAGUCAGUACAAACAUGACUGGUGUAUCAUCUUGCUUAACCAAAUUAAACAUGGUCUAAAAAGGAAAUGGUUUUCUCUGUGAAUCAAGUGUUGUGUUAUAAAUUUUCUUGCGUUUAGAACUUAUAUGAGUAAACUUUUUGUGUUUGGGUUGAAAUCCUAUUAAGUCCUUCAGGCUUUUCUCUUUGUAUAUUCUCUUAAUUUUUGUCAAUAUAGUCUGUUGAGACCUUUUCUUUUUCUUUUUUGAGCUUUGUUACUGUGCCCCUAGUUGUCCUAAUAUAUACCUUGUUAAGCCACUGCUUAAGUAAGAAUCUGCGUGUUGAAUGAGGUAUGUCAAUGAGCAGCUGAGAGUUUUAUAUGAGUGUUCUCAUUUAUGAAGUGAAUUUGUGUGGAUAUAUGUUGCACUAAGUGAUAUACACCAAUAGACCAAGCCCAUAUAAUUGUCAUAUGUUCUAUAGCAUAUGGGGAUUUAUAUGCUUGGUAUAUGAUGGGUAUAUCCUCCAUGUGAGAUUUUUUUUAAAGUGUUGAUUCAGUUGCUAAGCUAUUUGGUUUUGAAUCUGCUUCUCCAUAUCUUGUUUGAACCUUAUUCUUAUUACUUAAUAGGAAACACUUUAGGCAUCAGUUCCAGGCCAUAAUUGCCUUAAUCUAAAAUUUGUUUAGCUCUAUGUUCUAUUUCUUUCUAAAAGUAUAUGAUUAGCUUUUGAAACUUGGGCCAUAUGUGUUUGGGCUAGACCUUCAGGUUGCAUUUGAUUUAUCAUUGUGUGAUUGAAUACUAGUGUGAGAUCAGUAUAGUUAGUCUCUUAUUUUUAACUUGGCAUGCAAAUAUUGAACACCACCUCUCCUAUAUAUUGUGAGUUAACACAUAAAUGGAGAUGCAAAAUAGCAUUCAAGGAUUAAGCUUGAGCCUUCCCUAUUGUUUGCCAUGCCUGGGGUUCCGAGAAACCCCUUGGAUCUUGUGCAACAUCAGGAAUGAGAGGGUAAAAGCUUUCCUUUUUGGGCUAUUUUAGCAUCUCCAUGGGUGUGUAUACCCAUGGUAUAUUUAAAAAGAUGUUGGUGUAUAUUUAGUUGCAUGACAUUGUUUAUCCUUAUAAAAAAUGGUUUUGUGGACUUCUUUGUUAUUUACUGAUAAUUGGGCCUGUUUCUACACUGUUUUAACUUAUAUGGGUUUUGAGGAUGCGAGCCCAUGAUUAUUUGCAAUUUUUUGAGGAGGCCCAACUAUUACCUAAUUUUUCAGUUUACUUAGAUAUCCAUACUUAGUUAAAUUUCCAUUCCAUCAAAUAGUGUAUAUUGAAGUUAUCCGCCUUUGCAUAUACUUGCUAUAUCAGUUCUUUUACCUUUAUACAUAGUCUAAAAUUUCCUAAUUACCAUCUCCUUCCUUUUUGCUUGCAUGAAAUGCCAUCGUUGGGGAAGCUAAUAUUUAAAUUUGAAGGCCCACCUAUGGGUAAAAAUAGGCAAUUGGUGGGCUUAGGUAGGCCCACCAGCCUAAAUCUCCUCCUUCCUAUUUAUUUCCAUGAUGUAAAAUGUAUUUGUAAAACAUAUGUAAUUAUUGAAACCCUUUAUGCAUGCUUAGAAUGUAGGGAAAACGUAGUAUUA